UACGGGAGGCAGCAGUGGGGAAUAUUGCACAAUGGGCGCAAGCCUGAUGCAGCCAUGCCGCGUGUAUGAAAAGGCCUUCGGGUUGUAAAGUACUUUCAGUCGUGAGGAAGGUGUUAAGGUUAAUAACCUUAGCAAUUGACGUUAGCGACAGAAGAAGCACCGGCUAACUCCGUGCCAGCAGCCGCGGUAAUACGGAGGGUGCGAGCGUUAAUCGGAAUUACUGGGCGUAAAGGGCACGCAGGCGGUUAAUUAAGUUGGAUGUGAAAUCCCCGGGCUUAACCUGGGAAUGGCAUUCAAGACUGGUUAGCUAGAGUCUUGUAGAGGGGGUAGAAUUCCAUGUGUAGCGGUGAAAUGCGUAGAGAUGUGGAGGAAUACCGGUGGCGAAGGCGGCCCCUGGACAAAGACUGACGCUCAUGUGCGAAAGCGUGGGGAGCAAAACAGGGAUUAGAUACC
rnacentral:rRNA from 1 species